rnacentral:rRNA from 1 species
AUGGCCCUCUCCUCGCGCGCCGCCGCUUUCCCGCACGUCUCCCUCCCCUCCCCCCGCCCGCGCCCGGCCGCCGUGUCGCUCCGGCCCCCGCCUCCCCCGCGCUCGGUGCGGCUCGACCACGUCAUCCCCGCCGACGCCGCCGAGCUCGGCCUCGCCGGCGGCGGGCUCCUGGCCGCCGCCAUCGAGCACCUCGAGCGGGAGCCCGCCGCCGCGGCCGACGACAAGGCCCCGCUCGCCGACCUCUCCCCGAGGGAGCUCCAGCUCGUGCUCGUCUACUUCGCGCAGGAGGGCCGCGACGCCUACUGCGCGCUCGAGGUCUUCGACUGGCUGCGCCGCGCCGACCGCGUCGAUGGCGAGACCAUGGAGCUCAUGACAGCCAUCGCCUGCGGCUGGAUCGAGCGCCUCGUGGGGGCCGGGGGUGACGUCUCCGACGUCUCCGCGCUCCUGGGGGAGAUGGACUGCGUCGGCCUCCGCCCCGGGUUUAGCCUCGUCGAGAAGGCCGUCGCGCUCUACUGGGACCGCAGCGAGAGGGCGCGCGCUGUUGAGUUCGUCAGGGACGUGCUCAGGAGGGGGGGCGUGGCCGCGGGAGGGGAGUAUGACGGCGAGCGUGGAGGCCCCGUCGGUUACCUCGCCUGGAAGAUUAUGAUGGACGGAGACUACAGAGAUGCUGUUAAAUUGGUCAUUGAAUUCAAAGAGAGUGGACUGAAACCUGAAGUCUAUAGUUAUCUUAUUGGGUUGACUGCCUUGGUUAAAGAGCAAAAAGAAUUCUCAAAGGCAUUGCGUAAAUUGAAUCUGUCAGUGAAGGAUGGCUCAAUUGCCAAACUGGAUACUGAGAGCAUGCACAACAUCGAGAAGUAUCAAUCCAAAUUAUUAGGGGAUGGUGUUCUUUUAUCAAAUUGGGCAGUUCAGGAAGGCAGCAGUGAGGUUCUAGGACUUGUGCACGAGAGGCUCCUUUCAUUGUACACUUGCGCUGGUUGUGGCUUAGAAGCUGAGCACCAACUUUGGGAAUUGAAGCUUGUUGGUAGGGAACCUGAUACACAGCUCUAUGAUGUUGUCUUGGCCAUUUGUGCUUCUCAAGGGGAAGCUCCUGCUGUUAGACGAUUGCUUGCAGGAGUCGAGUCAACCAGUGCAGGAAGAAGGAAGAAGUCUAUGUCAUGGCUCCUGCGAGGCUACCUUAAAGGUGGUUUCUAUCUGGAUGCCUCGGAAACACUUUUGCGGAUGCUUGAUAUGGGCUUAUCUCCUGAUUACCUGGACAGAGCGGCUGUACUGACUGCACUGCAGAGAAACAUACAGGAAUCUGGCAACCUAGAAUCGUACAUGAAACUCUGCAAGCGCCUAUCUGAGACAGAUCUGAUCGCACCGUGCGUCCUAUAUCUGUAUGUACGCAAAUUCAAGCUGUGGAUGAUGCGCAUGCUGUGA